CGGCGGACGGGUGAGUAACACGUGGGUAACCUGCCUGUAAGACUGGGAUAACUCCGGGAAACCGGGGCUAAUACCGGAUGCUUGAUUGAACCGCAUGGUUCAAUCAUAAAAGGUGGCUUUUAGCUACCACUUACAGAUGGACCCGCGGCGCAUUAGCUAGUUGGUGAGGUAACGGCUCACCAAGGCGACGAUGCGUAGCCGACCUGAGAGGGUGAUCGGCCACACUGGGACUGAGACACGGCCCAGACUCCUACGGGAGGCAGCAGUAGGGAAUCUUCCGCAAUGGACGAAAGUCUGACGGAGCAACGCCGCGUGAGUGAUGAAGGUUUUCGGAUCGUAAAACUCUGUUGUUAGGGAAGAACAAGUACCGUUCGAAUAGGGCGGUACCUUGACGGUACCUAACCAGAAAGCCACGGCUAACUACGUGCCAGCAGCCGCGGUAAUACGUAGGUGGCAAGCGUUGUCCGGAAUUAUUGGGCGUAAAGCGCGCGCAGGCGGUUUCUUAAGUCUGAUGUGAAAGCCCCCGGCUCAACCGGGGAGGGUCAUUGGAAACUGGGGAACUUGAGUGCAGAAGAGGAGAGUGGAAUUCCACGUGUAGCGGUGAAAUGCGUAGAGAUGUGGAGGAACACCAGUGGCGAAGGCGACUCUCUGGUCUGUAACUGACGCUGAGGCGCGAAAGCGUGGGGAGCGAACAGGAUUAGAUACCCUGGUAGUCCACGCCGUAAACGAUGAGUGCUAAGUGUUAGAGGGUUUCCGCCCUUUAGUGCUGCAGCAAACGCAUUAAGCACUCCGCCUGGGGAGUACGGUCGCAAGACUGAAACUCAAAGGAAUUGACGGGGGCCCG
rnacentral:rRNA from 2 species